GCAUUAAUCAGAGCCGCCAAGGCUGCGGCACUGACGUAUAUCCCUCCAGCUUUAGGCCGGUUCAGUCUGGAUAAAGGGGUAUCAUCAAAACCGGAUGCACGGGACAGACGCCUCUAAGCCCCGCCAAGAUUCAGAGGAUAAGCCCCGGCUGGCCCGUCCUUCGGCAGGCAGAGGUCGACAACCAAAGGAGGAAUAAGCGUGUAGAAAGCUCUCUGGGGCGUUGUUUGGACGGCGGUUCGACUCCGCCCAUCUCCACAG
rnacentral:tmRNA from 1 species